UCAUGGCUCAGGAUGAACGCUGGCGGCGUGCCUAAUACAUGCAAGUCGAGCGAAUGGAUUAAGAGCUUGCUCUUAUGAAGUUAGCGGCGGACGGGUGAGUAACACGUGGGUAACCUGCCCAUAAGACUGGGAUAACUCCGGGAAACCGGGGCUAAUACCGGAUAACAUUUUGAACCGCAUGGUUCGAAAUUGAAAGGCGGCUUCGGCUGUCACUUAUGGAUGGACCCGCGUCGCAUUAGCUAGUUGGUGAGGUAACGGCUCACCAAGGCAACGAUGCGUAGCCGACCUGAGAGGGUGAUCGGCCACACUGGGACUGAGACACGGCCCAGACUCCUACGGGAGGCAGCAGUAGGGAAUCUUCCGCAAUGGACGAAAGUCUGACGGAGCAACGCCGCGUGAGUGAUGAAGGCUUUCGGGU
rnacentral:rRNA from 1 species